CCGGAUUUCACUGAGGAAGAAAGCGACCCACAGGCAAAAUGACGAGUGUGUUCCUUGUAUUGAACUUAAUGUCUUUGAUAGGAAUGUUAUCUGGGCUCUCCUUGGCACUUCCGACCACGCAAACAGACCUUGGAUUGGACUGGAACACCGAUGAGCCAGAAACCUCUUUCAGUGACUGGGAAGCCACUAACCCGAGUUUUUGGGCGAGUACCAUGGCUAAGCAAGAUACCCUCAAACAAGUAGAACACAACCGUUUUACCCUAGAGAUUGACCCUGGCUUGGGCAGAAACACCGCUGAACCAGAAACCUCCUCCAGUGAAUGAGAAGCCAUUGAACCGGAACAAUGGUAAACCAGUGACAAGUUCGAUGACAAAGACAAGGGUUUCACAAAGCUAGACGACAUCACUGCUCCGUCCAUGACUUAUCACAGAUGUUACAAAGGAAGAACAAUGAAAUACAAUAAACACCGCAUCUGAGCUUU